rnacentral:lncRNA from 1 species
UCACUUUCAAGAACAUGCCAUUGCCUAUUAUUUGAAUGCACUCUAAUUCUUAAAAUUAAAAUGAUAAGCUAGAGAUCAAAACAAUAAAGCUUAACCACAUGAUUGAAAAUAUGCAUAACGAACGUGUGAAUGGUUUAAAUAGCAGUUCAUAUGCACAGUCUCUCAAGUGUUAUGACCUACUUGCCAACCAAACUAUUAGACCACAAAUCUUCUAAGAAGACAAGAUGCAACAUGAAUUUCCUAAGAAAUACUACUUCUAUAUUAAGAUGAACAGGCCAGGCUAAAUACUAUUACGCUACAUUCCUGACUUCAAAAUUCUAAGGCAAAUGAUUAACAUUGAGGAUUAAAGAAAUCAGUCAUUCAUUCAUGAAAUCUUCAGGCAAUUACAGCUUUCAUACUUGCAUCUCAUCUCCUAUCGAAUCAAGGAAUACCUAAAAAUGGAACAAGAAAACAAAGAGAUGUGAAGUCAGAGGCCAAAAGUAGGGGAUCAGCAAUAGGACAGUAGCCACAAACACCAGCAGAAAGUAGCUCAACCAGAUCAAGUUCAAAAAUAAUAAAAGGGCAACCUCACUCGAGACAAUACCAAACCAAUCCUCAAAACCAAAAACCUAAGCAACCGAUUUCAAUUGAUUGAGCUAUACUACCCACAAAACCUUUUCAAGAAGUAGAGAACUUAUGGAAUCACUAGAGUAUUUCAAUGAAAUAGUGAUUUUUGCUUCAGUUUCAUCCCUCUUCUUUUCUGUAUUUUCCAGCCCUUAAAUCUACCCUUUUCUCUAUGGAUAUUUCACCAUAUAUAGGUUCCAAAGAUUUCAUGUGCUGGAAGAAAUGUUCCUCAGCCACAAAAAGGC